GUGGGGAAUAUUAGGCAAUGGGCGAAAGCCUGACCUAGCAACGCCGCGUGAAGGAAGAAGGCCUUCGGGUUGUAAACUUCUUUUAUGAGGGACGAAGGACGUGACGGUACCUCAUGAAUAAGCCACGGCUAACUACGUGCCAGCAGCCGCGGUAAUACGUAGGUGGCGAGCGUUGUCCGGAUUUACUGGGUGUAAAGGGCGCGUAGGCGGACUGGCAAGUCAGAUGUGAAAUACAGGGGCUCAACCCCUGAACUGCAUUUGAAACUGUUGGUCUUGAGUAUCGGAGAGGCAAGCGGAAUUCCUAGUGUAGCGGUGAAAUGCGUAGAUAUGCGGAGGAACACCGAUGGCGAAGGCAAUCCCCUGGGCCUGCACUGACGCUCAUGCACGAAAGCGUGGGGAGCAAACAGGAUUAGAUACCCGAGUAGUCC
rnacentral:rRNA from 1 species